UACAGAGGGUGCGAGCGUUAAUCGGAAUUACUGGGCGUAAAGCGCGCGUAGGCGGCUUUGCAAGUCGGGUGUGAAAUCCCAGGCUUAACCUGGGAACUGCAUUCGAGACUGCAUUGCUAGAGUAUGGGAGAGGGAAGUGGAAUUUCAGGUGUAGCGGUGAAAUGCGUAGAUAUCUGAAGGAACAUCAGUGGCGAAAGCGACUUCCUGGACCAAUACU
rnacentral:rRNA from 1 species